AGUACCGGGAAAACAGGAGCGUGUGAUUGGGGUUUACAGUGUUUUCUCUCGCUCUCUCUGUUUCUAGGGAAUUCGGGCUGUGUUUAGCUGCUGGAAUAUCGUAGAAUUGGUUUUCAGAGAAGUUCCUCGACUCCUGAGGCGAAACAUAAAGGGAUGGGAGUGGUGUGGGAAGUGAUCGUGUGGGGAAAAAAAAGUUUCGAGCCCGUUUCGCAUUUGUGGAGACAGAGUUUUUGGUGUGACCACUCUUUUGUGGGAAACCCAAACCAAGGAGAACUCAGGAGAAUUGGCGCUCUUCGGUCCUGGAGGUUCCGCAGCUAACAUCCCGGCUUGACCAACUAUCGAGGCCGCAAAUUAAUAGGGCACCUCCUGGGAGGAAAACGCCCAUCCUGACUUCUCAACUGUGACAGGUCCCCCUCACAAACGCCUUGCGGGGGGGUGGGGGGGCGUUUCUAAACACUUGCAUGUUCUUACAAGGGAAAUGUUUUUAUUCUUGGGCGCACCAAGUUGGCCGCCUCCUGAGGUGGAGUACGGACCAGUUGACAACAGGGCUCCUUUUCACCUCCACGCCCAACCUUUUCCAUUUCUCCUCAAACGGUUUUGGAGAAGGGCGGAGUCAUAUCAUUUUAAAGGAAACUUGGAACCUCACCAAUACAAACGCUGGUCGAAUGUUCCCAGAAACUUCCCUGCAUUAGCUCUACCGGGCGCGGGGAGCAGAAAGCGCAUUUCCUGAGUCCUGAAAAGCGCGUGCGCGCCUGUGUGCUGCCGGCGUUUGGGCGCGCCUGCUUGUAUUUUGCUCUGUCGCCCAGGAUGGAGUGCAGUGCAGUGGCGCGAUCCUGCAACCUCCGCCUCUCGAGUUCAAGCGAUUCUCCUGCCUCAGCCUCCCGAGUAGCUGGGAUUACAGACGCGCGCCACCCCACCCAGAUGAUCUUUUUAAAUGCAAAAUGCCAUCGACGCAGAAAAUCAAAGAAUCAGCUUAAGUUCCAGAAAAAAGAAAAACCAACCAAAUGAACAAUAAGACAACAACAACAACAACAAAAAAGGCCUUUUGGGAUUUUGGAUGAUAUUGCAUCAAAUCCAUACAUUAACCUGAGAGACGAGCGACUUCUUCAACAUUGAGCCUUCCAAUCAUGAUUUUCAAUUCAUUUAGGUCUUCUGUAAUGUUUCUUAAUAUAAUUGUAUUUGUUGCUAUGCAGAAGUUUCACUGAUCUUUUAUUAUAUCUCUAUAUAUAUUUGAUAUUUCUGACACUAUUGUAAAUAGUAUCUUUUUAAUAUUUCAUUUUCCUUUUUUGUUGCUUAAAUAUAUAUAAAAUAAGCUAAUUUUCCAAACUAAUUUUUAUAUCCAGCAACCCUGCUAAAAUUUCUUAUCCAAUAAAAAUAUAAAUGUA
rnacentral:lncRNA from 1 species